rnacentral:tRNA from 1 species
UGUAUUUUAGUAUAAGAUGUAUAAAAGUUUUUGAUACUUUAGGUAAAAGUUUAAUUCUUUUAAAUGCAA